rnacentral:rRNA from 1 species
AGAUGGCGACCGGCGCACGGGUGAGUAACACGUAUCCAACCUGCCGAUAACUCGGGGAUAGCCUUUCGAAAGAAAGAUUAAUACCCGAUGGCAUAAUUAGACCGCAUGGUCUUAUUAUUAAAGAAUUUCGGUUAUCGAUGGGGAUGCGUUCCAUUAGGCAGUUGGUGAGGUAACGGCUCACCAAACCUUCGAUGGAUAGGGGUUCUGAGAGGAAGGUCCCCCACAUUGGAACCGAGACACGGUCCAA